rnacentral:rRNA from 1 species
GAUGAACGCUAGCGAUAGGCCUAACACAUGCAAGUCGAGGGGCAUCACGGAGUAGCAAUACUUUGGUGGCGACCGGCGCACGGGUGAGUAACGCGUAUGCAAUCUACCUACAACAGGGGGAUAACCCGGAGAAAUCCGGACUAAUACCGCACAACACAGGGGUCCCGCAUGGGAAUAUUUGUUAAAGAUUUAUCGGUUGUAUAUGAGCAUGCGUUCCAUUAGGUAGUUGGUGAGGUAACGGCCCACCAAGCCUGCGAUGGAUAGGGGAACUGAGAGGUUUGUCCCCCACACUGGAACUGAGACACGGACCAGACUCCUACGGGAGGCAGCAGUGAGGAAUAUUUGUCAAUGGGCGAGAGCCUGAACCAGCCAAAUCGCGUGAAGGAAGACUGCCUUAUGGGUUGUAAACUUCUUUUGUACAGGAAUAAAAAGAGGGACGUGUCCUUCAUUGCAUGUACUGUACGAAUAAGCAUCGGCUAACUCCGUGCCAGCCGCCGCCGUAA